rnacentral:tRNA from 1 species
CGGGUGCUGGCGCGGCCUCGGGCGCCGGGGGCACUGCCGCUGCCUCCGGCUCAUCGUCGGAGUCGGGGUUGCCCGGC